UACGUAGGGUGCGAGCGUUGUCCGGAAUUAUUGGGCGUAAAGGGCUCGUAGGCGGUCUGUCGCGUCGGCUGUGAAAUCCCGAGGCUCAACCUCGGGUCUGCAGUCGAUACGGGCAAACUAGAGUAUUGCAGGGGAGACUGGAAUUCCUGGUGUAGCGGUGAAAUGCGCAGAUAUCAGGAGGAACACCGGUGGCGAAGGCGGGUCUCUGGGCAAUAACUGACGCUGAGGAGCGAAAAGCGUGGGGGAGCGAAACAGG
rnacentral:rRNA from 1 species